UGGUGGAGUGAUUUGUCUGGUUAAUUCCGUUAACGAACGAGACCUCGACCUGCUAAAUAGUUGAACGAACUCUUCGGAGUUUGUAUUGACUUCUUAGAGGGACUUUUGGUGAGUAGCCAAAGGAAGUUCGAGGCAAUAACA
rnacentral:rRNA from 1 species